GCAGGCAAACGCUUGAAUACGUUAGCAUGGAAUAAUGGAAUAGGACUUUGGUUCUAUUUUGUUGGUUUCUAGGACCGAAGUAAUGAUUAAUAGGGACAGUUAGGGGCAUUAGUAUUUAGUUGUCAGAGGUGAAAUUCUUGGAUUUACGAAAGACUAACUUCUGCGAAAGCAUUUGCCAAGGAUGUUUUCAUUAAUCAAGAACGAAAGUUAGGGGAUCGAAGACGAUCAGAUACCGUCGUAGUCUUAACCAUAAACUAUGCCGACUAGGGAUCGGACGAUGUUAAUUUAUAAUUGACUCGUUCGGCACCUUACGAGAAAUCAAAGUUUUUGGGUUCCGGGGGGAGUAUGGUCGCAAGGCUGAAACUUAAAGGAAUUGACGGAAGGGCACCACCAGGAGUGGAGCCUGCG
rnacentral:rRNA from 1 species